rnacentral:rRNA from 1 species
GUGGGGAAUUUUGGACAAUGGGCGCAAGCCUGAUCCAGCAAUGCCGCGUGCAGGAAGAAGGCCUUCGGGUUGUAAACUGCUUUUGUACGGAACGAAAAGGCUCUGGCUAAUACCUGGAGCUCAUGACGGUACCGUAAGAAUAAGCACCGGCUAACUACGUGCCAGCAGCCGCGGUAAUACGUAGGGUGCGAGCGUUAAUCGGAAUUACUGGGCGUAAAGCGUGCGCAGGCGGUGAUGUAAGACAGUUGUGAAAUCCCCGGGCUCAACCUGGGAACUGCAUCUGUGACUGCAUUGCUGGAGUGCGGCAGAGGGGGAUGGAAUUCCGCGUGUAGCAGUGAAAUGCGUAGAUAUGCGGAGGAACACCGAUGGCGAAGGCAAUCCCCUGGGCCUGCACUGACGCUCAUGCACGAAAGCGUGGGGAGCAAACAGGAUUAGAAACCCUAGUAGUCC